rnacentral:ncRNA from 1 species
UUUUUUUAUGGAGCUAUUUUGAUAUUUAAUUAUGGUAUAAUAUAUAUAUAUAUUUUAAUAAUUUAUACGAAUUUUGUUUUAGAUUUAAUUUUAGUAGUGUAUAAUUUUAUAUAAUUAAAGAAAUUUAGAAAUAGUUAUAAAUUUUAGUAUUUACAAAUUUUGUGCCAGCAGUAGCGGUUAUACAAAAAAUGCUAUAUAUAUUUAUUAGUUUUAAUUAAAAGAAUAUUAAAAAAAUUAAAUUUUAAAUUUUAAGGUGAAAUUUUAAUUUAGAUUAAGUUUUAAUUUAAGUUUUUGAAGUUAAGAAAUUUUUAUUUAAACUAGGAUUAGAUACCCUAUUAUUUUAAAUGUAAAUAAUUUAAACUAAGUGAUUAAUAGUUAAGUUCUUUAAAGCUAAAUAAUUUGGCGGUAUUUUAAACUAUUCAGAGGAACCUGUCCUAUAAUUGAUAUUCCACAAUAGAAGUUACUUUAAUUAGAAAUUUUUAUAUCGUCGUUAUAAAAUAUUUUAAAAGAAUAAAUAUUUAAGUUUCUUUAUAAAGAAGAAAAUCAGAUCAAGGUAAAGUUUAUAUUAAAGAAGAGAUGGGUUACUAUUUAUUUUAUUAUUGGAUUUAUUUUUUGAGAAUUUUUUUGAAAUUGGAUUUGAAAGUAAUUAAUUAUACUUAUUUUUAAUGAUUAAGCUCUAAAAUAUGCACAUAUUGCCCGUCGCUUUCACUUAAUAUGGAAUAAGUCGUAACAUAGUAGGUUUACUGGAAAGUGUUUCUAGAAAGGC